rnacentral:rRNA from 1 species
GUGGGGAAUAUUGGACAAUGGGCGAAAGCCUGAUCCAGCCAUGCCGCGUGUGUGAAGAAGGUCUUCGGAUUGUAAAGCACUUUAAGUUGGGAGGAAGGGUAGUAACCUAAUACGUUGCUACUUUGACGUUACCGACAGAAUAAGCACCGGCUAACUUCGUGCCAGCAGCCGCGGUAAUACGAAGGGUGCAAGCGUUAAUCGGAAUUACUGGGCGUAAAGCGCGCGUAGGUGGUUCAGUAAGUUGGAAGUGAAAUCCCCGGGCUCAACCUGGGAACUGCUGUCAAAACUGCUGAGCUAGAGUACGGUAGAGGGUGGUGGAAUUUCCUGUGUAGCGGUGAAAUGCGUAGAUAUAGGAAGGAACACCAGUGGCGAAGGCGACCACCUGGACUGAUACUGACACUGAGGUGCGAAAGCGUGGGGAGCAAACAGGAUUAGAUACUCCAGUAGUCC